GACGAACGCUGGCGGCGUGCUUAACACAUGCAAGUCGAACGGAAAGGCCCUGCUUUUGUGGGGUGCUCGAGUGGCGAACGGGUGAGUAACACGUGAGUAACCUGCCCUUGACUUUGGGAUAACUUCAGGAAACUGGGGCUAAUCCCGGAUAGGAGCUCCUGCUGCUUGGUGGGGGUUGGAAGGUUUCGGCGGUUGGGGAUGGACUCGCGGCUUAUCAGCUUGUUGGUGGGGUAGUGGCUUACCAAGGCUUUGACGGGUAGCCGGCCUGAGAGGGUGACCGGCCACAUUGGGACUGAGAUACGGCCCAGACUCCUACGGGAGGCAGCAGUGGGGAAUAUUGCACAAUGGGCGGAAGCCUGAUGCAGCAACGCCGCGUGCGGGAUGACGGCCUUCGGGUUGUAAACCGCUUUCGCCUGUGACGAAGCGUGAGUGACGGUAAUGGGUAAAGAAGCACCGGCUAACUACGUG
rnacentral:rRNA from 1 species